rnacentral:lncRNA from 1 species
AAUUUUGUGUGUGUGUGAUGGAGUCAGGGUUUUGGAACUGUGACCUCUCUUUUUGUGUUUCAGAACUGGUCUCUCCUACUGUGGGUUUUUUUUAAAGAUUGGCACCUGAGCUAACAUCUGUUGCCAAUCUUUUUUUUUUUCCUUCUUCUUCUUCUCCCCAAAGCUCCCCCAGCACAUGGUUGUGUAUUCUAGUUGUGAGUGCCUAUGGUUGUGCUGUGUGGGACGUGCCUCAGCAUGGCUUGAUGAGGGUGCCAUGUCCGCGCACAGGAUCCGAACCAGCGAAACCCUGGGCUGCUGAAGUGGAGCGCGCGAACUUAACUGCUCGGCCACGGGGCUGGCCCCUGUGGCUUUUUCUUUUUACAAAGGUAUUCUUUUACAUUCAGACGUGGAGCACGAACUCUACCAGAGCGUCCUCUGGGGCCGUGCGGAAUCCCUGCCCAUUCGAUACAGAAGCCAUCUACGUGUCUAAAGACAGCUCUGUCAUCCUACAGAUUCUACUCAGCUCUCAGGCCCCAUGAUGCUUCUUUGGAAUCUUCAAAACUCAUCAUUCAAGCAGGUGGUGGGCUAUGUGGUAUAAUUUCCAGUGUCCUGAGCACUACACCCUCAAAAUGCUUCACAUGCCUUGUUCUCUGAUGCCUGCGUUGUGCAGCUGGAACUUCAGUCAUUGGUGAAAGUCAAACAGAAAAUGAAGUUGGAACCUUCUUGGAAAAGCUAACGCAC